rnacentral:rRNA from 1 species
ACUUGUGGGUAGCGGUGAAAUUCCAAUCGAGCCCGGAGAUAGCUGGUUCUCCCCGAAAUAGCUUUAGGGCUAGCCUCAAGGUGAGAGAUACGGAGGUAGAGCACUGAAUGUCCUAGGGGGUAUUGCACCUACCGAAGACUAUCAAACUCCGAAUGCCGUCAUCUUAUACUUGGGAGUCAGACUGUGGGUGAUAAGAUUCAUAGUCGAAAGGGCAACAGCCCAGAUCGUCAGCUAAGGUCCCUAAAUGUAAGUUAAGUGGUAAAGG